CAGAAAUGCGCGCGCAAAACGGCACGCUGGGUACAAUUAAGAAUAAAAAUAUACUGUAAUAGUUUAAAGAGUUCUAAUUUUUUACUAAAAAAUUCUCUGCUUAUUGCUAAGAACAUUCUCCGACUCCGAGGUACUUAUAGGGCUGUGAUUAUUCACUUCAGAUGGAAGAAAGCGUGGUUUGUGCCGGAGAUAUAUGACAUUCCACAUCAGGGGCAUAAGAGCAUCCGAAAAGGGAUCCCUGGAAAGUUUGACUCUGAACUUUGGAAUUUCAGAUCUUAUCAGUAUACUGAACAUGCAAGCCCAACUCUGUGCUAUUGCAGGGAUUUCUUGGUAGUUCUAUGUUGAAUUUUGGAGUUCCGAACUGCUUACUUGUAAACUAGAGAGGGAUCUUUUGGGAGUUAGACUUUGAACGUUGGAGUUUCAGAUCUGUAAACUGAACAGGCAAGCCCCCCAUUCUGCACUAUUGCAAGUAUUCAUGAUGUAUUAAAUUUUAGCUUAUAGAUCUAGAUUUACCUUAUUCAGCUUCAAGUGCUCAUGCCAUUUGGUUGUCCAUUAACAUGAAUAAAUAGAAUCUUUACCUGCGAUUUUUGUUUUAUGAAGACAGUCGAUUGAGUUUUGUAGUUGACUGGAGAUCAGGUUACAAAAAUGGAAACAACGAAGAGCUCUUGAAGUCAAGCAUUAGUUAAGAUUUGGUACAGGCAUUGACAAAACAAAGUUAAGUCUGGACUGUACAAAUGGUCUUUUUUUAAUAAACUUACAGAAUAUUGAUUCCCCUGUGGCAUUAAAUUGUCAGCAUGUGACCAAGUGUGAAUUCUAUUUUUUUGAAUCUUAGUUACAUAAAUGACCCUGCUUAAUUUGCAUGUACUAUCACUUAGAAAAUAGAGUGAAGGAGCAGAGUUGCAAGUAAAAUGAAUUAAAAAGUUGUAUUAGAUGGGGGCAUUCCGAGAAUCGAACUCGGGACCUCUCGCACCCAAAGCGAGAAUCAUACCACUAGACCAAAUGCCCAGUUCUUGUUGGUCCCUCAGUGGUAAUAAUAGUUUGAAGUUGAUAUUGGUUGUCUGGAGCUUGUACCAUUCUGUGCAAUAAUUUUCUAGGUGAGAUAAACAUUCUCCAUUGUUUGAGCCUUUGAAAAGUUAAAAUCAUCUUAGAGUAAAUAAUUUUUUUUAUAAAUUAAGGGGCAUUCCGAGAAUCGAACUCGGGACCUCUCGCACCCAAAGCGAGAAUCAUACCACUAGACCAAAUGCCCAGUUCUUGUUGGUCCCUCAGUGGUAAUAAUAGUUUGAAGUUGAUAUUGGUUGUCUGGAGCUUGUACCAUUUUGUGCAAAAAUUUUCUAGGUGAGAUAAACAUUCUCCAUUGUUUGAGCCUUUGAAAAGUUAAAUCAUCUUAGAGUAAAUAAAAACUUUUAUAAAUUAAGGGGCAUUCCGAGAAUCGAACUCGGGACCUCUCGCACCCAAAGCGAGAAUCAUACCACUAGACCAAAUGCCCAUCGUUGACAUUGUCUUAUUUGAAUUUUAGUCAAAUGUAUUUUAGCUUUGUCAGCUAUUUGAUCACACAAUUGUCAUUGCUUACUGUAAUAUAGAAUUCAAAUAAUCCGUAUUUUACACCAUAUGAUCUUCAUUUGCUUGCUUAAAUGUUCUUGAGUACUUAAUUAUCAAAAAAAAUGUUCUUGAGUACUUUUUAUUUGGAUGUGAGGUGUAUAUAGAAGGUUGCUUAAAAUAAUAUGCCUCUGCAGUUCCUCAAAUUACUUUUCUCGAUGCCUAUAGAUGCUAUCAGCUUUGGUUGUUACUGUCACUUGUAUAUUUACAAUCCUAUGCUAUCAUACUCAACCCUUUGGUCAUCUGGAAUCCAAAACACGUGAGAUCUGUGUAGUGAUUAAGAACUGUCAUUGGACAUGAGGCCAGGUCUCCGGCGUUAGCUGAAUUAAUAUUUCAUGUUUGAGCUUCAUCGUUCUAGUUACAGCUGAAGCAAAUAAAAUCUCCACUAAGGAUUAUCCCAUUGAUAGUUAACCAUGUGCUUUUUUCUGGGUUCUCUUACUUCCAGUUCUCUUUUGGAUACCUUCUUUGUUAAGCUAUAUCAUUAUCACUUGUUUCAUGGAAUGGUGCAGCUCAUGUUAUGCGAUUUUGGGUGCAAAGCAACAUGGUACAAUGAAGUUCAUGCUUCUUUGUUUCACUCAAGUGAAAUGAAAAUGGCUCAUGAACUGUGGAUAUCCGUUUCAUUCCUUAUUUUGACUUGAAAUUCAGAGAGCUUCCUUGAUUAAUGAUAUCAGUUGUUAUUGUAAACUUCCUUGACCUGUAAAUGACCUUGUAUCUAUAAUGAUUCUUUGAUGUUACGACAAAUCCAUGUACCAACUUCAUUAAGUUUUGCCUGCUUUGUCAAAUUGAGAAUGGAUGGCAAAAAAGCAUAUCUGAAAUGAUGGCUUGUGAUAUUUGAGAUACUCGAGAACUUAUCUGUCCAACAUUUUAUAUUUAGGGAUCUUUUGGGAGUUAGAUGUUGAACGUUGGAGUUUCAGAUCUUUAAACUGAACAGGCAAGCCCAACUCUGCACCAUUGCAAGUAUUCAUGAUGUAUUAUUUUAAUUUUUAGCUUAUAGAUCUAGAUUUACUCUUAUUCAGCUUCAAGUGCUCAUGCCAUUGGGUUUAUCCAUUAACAUGAAUUAAAAGAAUCUUUACCUGCAAAUUUUGUUUUAUGAAGACAGUCGAUUGAGUUUUGUAGUUGACUGGAGAUCAGCUUACAAAAAUGGAAACAAUGAAGAGCUCUUGAAGUCAAGCAUUAGGACAUCAAUUUGCUGAUUGUUUUACAAAAUACUACUACUUGUCCAGCUGGUACAUUGUUGACUACAAGGAGAUUGAAUUAUUUUUUGCAUUAAACUUUUAAAAAAAGAGGGGCAUUCCGGGAAUCGAA